rnacentral:lncRNA from 1 species
AGAAAGAUCAUUAGAGCUUCUGGAAACAGUUCAAGUCAUUCUCAUGUACGAGAGGCAUCCAGAGGGACUGUUGUGUAGGCCUUGGCAACAGCGGUUCCCCCGGAUCUGCAGUGCUGUCACGCAUGGAUGGAGGCAGAAGAACAGGAGGGGAACAUGAUACCUCGGAGAGCGCGGCACACGACCCUGAGAUGACCCUGACAUAACCGUGUGUUUUCCUACAUUUCUUUUUUGCUGCUGUCUUCUGGGGCUCCAUGUUGUCAGCACCAGCAGUUUCUACCAGGGUGGAUAAACAAGCACAAACAGUGAUGAUGUUCCUGAUGACAUUUUUGAUUUUCUUGAUCGUCUGUGAAGACCUCGACAUAAAACUAAGGAACCUCCCGAAUCCCUCGCGCUGAGAAUUGACAACAAUCCUUUCAGCCAAACU